AAAGAAGGUGCUAUUUAUUUUGGUUGAAAGUGUAAGGCCUGUAGCGAACACCUAACAUUAGUUGUUGCUUGUACAUAAUCAUGGCAAUUUUCAUGGACAAUAUUAAGCUGCACAGUAAGACACAAGAAGUAGCACCAUUAAAUGAUGAAACUUUCAACUGGUUUGCUAAGAUCACAAGCAGAUGCGCAUUUUUUUUUUGACAUAACUAUUCCACAUUGUUAAGAUGAUUAUAUGGAAGCUUUUAUCUAUUAGUAAAACAUCUUGCACAUACAUUUGGUUUCCAAAUUGUGUUUGAAUGAGUCAUUUUGGACGCAUGUCAAUAGCAACUACUAGUACGCCUAUAUAGAUAUUAUUUGUAGCAGCAUCAGUUAAAUGUUAAUAAAUACGAUAAGCAAAUAUGAAUGUACUGAAGUAAAAAGAUAAGAUAUAGCUACGAAAAAAAUAGAGAAAGGGUAGCAGAAAGAACUUAUGUUGUUGUUGCAGUCCACGAAUUUAUCUAGAUCUUCAAAUGGAGUAAAUGUGUAUGUUGAAAACAAGAAUUCCAGAUUAUUUUCAUUAACUUCUUCAACUCGUGUCUUUCCAGAUAUUGUCCACUGCACGUCACCAUUUGAAGCCCUAUAUUUAGCUUUGGUGCCUUUAACGAGAGCAUUUGAAAUGGUGUAUGUUUUGCUCAAACGAAGCUGAUCUUCGAAGGCAAUAAUGUUUCCAUCAUAAAGUGUUCUUUGCACUUUAUUUCCCUAUGGAAAGUAAAAAUGGAAAGUAUCAUAAAUUUUGAUUUAAGGAUCCAUGUUUUGUUAUUUAUUGUUACUGUUUCUUGCUCGCUUUGGUGCCAACUUUACUGCAACUAUUACCUUGGCUACCAGUUCUUUUCGCUUAGGUUGAUUUUUGGGAUUAACUUGUAGUUUUCUGUCAUUCUAUUGAGUCUGGAAGAACGAUAAAAAGAUUAAUGAAAGAUAUUGAAGAAUCAUUAAAUGUACUAAUAAAUAUGCAGAAG
rnacentral:lncRNA from 1 species